UACGUAGGCAGCGAGCGUUGUUCGGAAUUACUGGGCGUAAAGAGUGUGUAGGCGGUGCUCUAAGUUCGGUGUGAAAUCUCCUGGCUUAACUGGGAGGGUGCGCCGGAAACUGGAGUGCUCGAGCGUGGGAGAGGAAAGCGGAAUUCCUGGUGUAGCGGUGAAAUGCGUAGAUAUCAGGAGGAACACCUGCGGUGUAGACGGCUUUCUGGACCAUGGCUGACGCUGAGACACGAAAGCGUGGGUAGCAAACAGG
rnacentral:rRNA from 1 species